rnacentral:tRNA from 1 species
GGCAGUGUGGUCCAGUAGGUAGGGUGUCUGCCUUGCAUGCACAAGGCCCUGGGUUCUGCCCCCAGUACUACAU